rnacentral:rRNA from 1 species
UCGAGAGUCUUCCGCAAUGGGCGAAAGCCUGACGGAGCGACGCCGCGUGGAGGACGAAGGCCCUUGGGUUGUAAACUCCUGUCACGGGUUAUGAAUGCGUAUACGUGAAUAGCGUAUGCGUUGACGUAUGCCCGAGAGGAAGCACCGGCUAACUCUGUGCCAGCAGCCGCGGUAAUACAGAGGGUGCAAACGUUGUUCCGAAUUACUGGGCAUAAAGCGCACGUAGGCGGUCCUGUAAGUGUGAAGUGAAAGCCCACGGCUCAACCGUGGAAUUGCUUUGCAUACUGCAGAACUCGAGGACGGUAGGGGAGAGCGGAACUCCUGGUGGAGCGGUGAAAUGCGUAGAUAUCAGGAGGAACACCGGUGGCGAAGGCGGCUCUCUGGUCCGUUUCUGACUCUGAGGUGCGAAAGCCAGGGUAGCGAACGGGAUUAGAUACCCGUGUAGUCC